rnacentral:lncRNA from 1 species
ACGGCGGCGUGCUUUGCGAUUGAAACAUUGAAAUAAAUUAAGGGGAUGUUUGUAGUUAACUGAGUCACUGCAGCACAGCGAUUAAGGUUUGCUUCCCUGCAAAGGCGGCAAGGAUGAGCUAAGCGUUAUGACCGACAUGUGUGUUUUCCGUGCGCCAAGGCUAAUCUCGGGUAUCUGCGGCAGCGCUACAGUGAGCUGCACGUACCUGGGCGUUGCCCAUUCUACUUUGUGGGUGAGUGCCAUCAUGAAGAGGAUGCCAUAUCAUCAUCAGCCGUUUCUCUUUCGUUCCACCGCACGCAUAUGCGCGUAUCGCAUCGCUCGGGUACCACGAGAACGCUUGCGCGUGACUUGCCGGGCUCGCGUUCCGCUGUCCAACUGCGUGCCGCGCUGUCUUGCUGCGGUCGUUCACUCGCUCGGCCGACAGAUUCGAGGUUUUGCCCGGAAGUGGUGUACUAGCGUGGAUCGGCAAGAAUGGCUGGAACGAAGCCAGUUAAGGUCGUUGUUGAGUAUUGUACUGGAUGAGGGUACAAGAACCGCUUUGAUGAUCUGAAGAAGCAGAUCCUCGCAAAGAUACCAAAUGCCACUGUGAUUGGCAACGUAGGACGCAAAUCGUCCUUUGAAGUUGAAAUCAAUGGCGUCCAGGUAUUCUCUAAGCUGGCAAAGAAUGCCUUCCCAGACUUGGCGGAGGUUGUUGCUCGAGCUUUGGAUGCCAGCCAAGGGAAAGCGGUGCAGCCUGUAAAUGGUGUCGAGAAGUAGCCUGGACAUUCGCGCAACUGUGCAUGUUACCCAUUGUACAACUUCCCUUCACGCACCUUCUCCAGUGGUCUGCCAUGCCGUUGGCAUUCCUGAACAGUAGCUGAUGGUCCUGAAAGGUGCACAGAUGAUGGCAUGAUCACAAACCUCAAAAAGGGUCUUGCCUGAAUAACCAGCACGUUCCGGCCCAUUGUUAUUUGUUCUGAUGAAAGCCAUUCGUGUAUGAAGCCUGUAGAAGAAAGCUCAUUUGUUUGUUUUCGCUUUGUGUGUGUGUGUGUUUCCUAACAGUUUGUAAAUUAAGAAAUUUCUUAACUUUAAACACAAACUAUGCACAGCAGUGGACCCUGAAGGGGAGCUUGCUAGUGGAAAUAAGAUCGACUAAGUGGCAUGCCUACGCUGAGUUGUUAAUGACCGACGCGUACAGUUUUUUCAGAUAUUAUGGACAAGCACAGAGAGUUAUUAAAUGUAUGCAACUAUUUGGUGGACUGCAUUGCAACAUGCUGCGAAAUACAUUAGCAUAGCCAGGCCUGAAGUUCUCAUGGUGACGACGGUCUGGAUCCUUCAUGCUAAAGCUGUCAAAAAAGCAUUCUGCUCAUAUAACAGAUGAAUUAACACUUUAAAACCACCAUACGAUUGUGAGAGACAUAGUGGAUGGCUCCAGAAAUUUUUACCAACUGGAGUUCAUUAAAGUGCAUCUUAAUCUAAGCACACAGGCCUCAAGCAUUGUCACCAGCACCAAAAAACACGACCGCUGCUGCUGGGAUUCGAUCUCGCAACCUGUGGGUCAGCAGCCAAAUGCCUUAGCCACUAGAUCACUGUGGCAGGUCAAUGUAUCAACUUAGAGCAUCUGCAACGCUGUACCUUUUCGUUUACUUAAGGACUUCAAACUCGCAAAAGCUAGUGCUUGAUAUGAAACCACCAUAAUCAUUCACUGGAAAUCACGCAAAGCCUGGUAUGUUGAGUCUGUAAAGCACUUGGCCUGUUGUCCGAGGUGCCACGAACAUUAUAAUUUGUUCUCCAAGACUGGGAAGUGCAUGCCAUGUUCGGAAACUCUUGACAGACCACCUUCUAAGGUACGCUGUUUUUAUAUACCAGACCAGCAGCUCGACAAGAUUGGUUUACUAAUUUGGAGGUCUGCAGCUAUUUUAAAAAAGCAUUUUUGUUCUAAUGAAUUUUUAAAAUUGAACCACUUGGAAACGAACACGGUGUUACUUUCUGAUGCUUUAUUGCUAGUUGAUGUCUUUUUCCAGUCACUGACUACAUCAUGUAUUUUUUGUAUUUUUCUUUUCUGUUGCUGAUUAAAAAUAGCACUCUGCACAA